GGCCGAGCCGAGCCGAGCCGAGCCGAGGGAGCGGAGCGCGGCACGGCGCCGCUCCAUGCCCCGAGCGCUGGCGGGGCGCGGGGCGUGUGCCGGCGAUGCCCGGGCGGUAAGGCUGCAGCUCCCCCCGGACGGGAGGCGGCCGGUCGCGAGGCAUUUCUAGCAAGAAUCGGGACUGCAGGAUGAAUAAGAGAUACUUACAGAAAGCAACAAAAGGAAAACUGUUAAUAAUAAUAUUUGUUGUAACUCUGUGGGGGAAAUUAGCAUCUGGGGCAAAUCAUCAUAAAGCUCACCAUGUUAAAACUGGGACCUGUGAAGUGGUGGCGCUUCACAGAUGCUGCAACAAGAAUAAGAUAGAAGAAAGAUCACAGACAGUGAAGUGUUCCUGCUUCCCUGGGCAGGUAGCAGGUACCACCCGGGCAGCUCCUUCUUGUGUUGAUGCUUCAAUAGUGGAGCAGAAAUGGUGGUGCCACAUGCAACCAUGUCUUGAAGGGGAGGAAUGUAAAGUUCUUCCAGAUCGUAAGGGAUGGAGCUGUUCCUCUGGGAAUAAAGUGAAAACAACUAGGGCAAACGUGUAAAACUCCUCAAGUCCGAAUGGAGAAGUAGAGAAAGGAGGUUUCUGCUGUGCCUGAUGACAAUUUUUGUUUUUCCCACACACAAAAAAUAUUCUGGCUCCACGUUGGAGCACUAGUUGUGAUGAAUCCUAGUCUUGGUCGGAUUCUAAGGAAGGGCCAGAACGUUCGUUGAGGAAUAAAGAGUCAAACCACUCCAGAAAAUGUGUUCCAGCCCUGGUUUAUUACUCACAGAGCAGCAGGUAACCCGAUAGCUAAAGACAAAUCAAGCCAGUCUCAAGGCUGAUAACAUUAAAUACAACACAGGAAUUUCAUUCCUCCUGGCAAUCCUUGAAGUGAAAUUUUAUACUGCUGAGGUGUAUCCUUCAGAAUCAAUUGUUUCAAUGAGAACCUGGCUGGUAAUCAGCAACAGCCUUGAGAUCAAAACUACUGGAAAGUUAUUUUGAACUUCUAUGUGACAAAUAUUUCGACUGAUUGAACUGUGUACACUUGUAAAAUUGCACUUGCUGAGGAAUUUGCAGCUGUAAUCACAAGCUAAUAUUCUAAAGGUGCAGAAAAGCAGCAAACUUCUGGGCUCUCCGUUGCAGAUCAGUGGGUUUUCAUCUUGAAGAAGUCAACCUCUGAAAUGUAUUGGAUCCUUCACUCUAAAAUGAUCCUGGGUCCCCUGUUCAGAUUGCUGGUGGGACUGCACACUGCUUUAAUUAAAUUUCUGUUGCAGAAAUUGUCCUCUGGCAUGGCGCAGUUUUAGACAUUUUUAUUUGUGUUCUAAUCUUGCAGCUCUCAAAGGUACAUAUUUCAACAUCUUAAAGUUGCUUUGUUAUAGGAAUGGAAUUAUAUAUCCAUUGUUAAUAAUUAUUGUUGACAUGUAAUAGUUAUCUGAAUACAUCAGUCAUAUUAGAAUGCAUAGUCAGGUUGACAUGUUUCCCUAAGGCUAACCAACUACUGCAGCUUAACAGUUAAAGAAAGUAGUGGUCAAACCUCAAUUACCACUUCCGUAAU